GACGAACGCUGGCGGCGUGCUUAACACAUGCAAGUCGAACGAAGAGCGACGGAAGCUUGCUUCUAUCAAUCUUAGUGGCGAACGGGUGAGUAACGCGUAAUCAACCUGCCCUUCAGAGGGGGACAACAGUUGGAAACGACUGCUAAUACCGCAUACGAUCUAAUCUCGGCAUCGAGGAUGGAUGAAAGGUGGCCUCUACAUGUAAGCUAUCACUGAAGGAGGGGAUUGCGUCUGAUUAGCUAGUUGGAGGGGUAACGGCCCACCAAGGCGAUGAUCAGUAGCCGGUCUGAGAGGAUGAACGGCCACAUUGGGACUGAGACACGGCCCAGACUCCUACGGGAGGCAGCAGUGGGGAAUCUUCCGCAAUAGACGAAAGUCUGACGGAGCAACGCCGCGUGAGUGGUGACGGCCUUCGGGUUGUAAAGCUCUGUUAAUCGGGACGAAAGGCCUUCUUGCGAAUAGUGAGAAGGAUUGACGGUACCGGAAUAGAAAGCCACGGCUAACUACGUG
rnacentral:rRNA from 1 species